UCAGCGACUUAUAUUCUGUAGCAAGGUUAACCGAAUAGGGGAGCCGAAGGGAAACCGAGUCUUAACUGGGCGUUAAGUUGCAGGGUAUAGACCCGAAACCCGGUGAUCUAGCCAUGGGCAGGUUGAAGGUUGGGUAACACUAACUGGAGGACCGAACCGACUAAUGUUGAAAAAUUAGCGGAUGACUUGUGGCUGGGGGUGAAAGGCCAAUCAAACCGGGAGAUAGCUGGUUCUCCCCGAAAGCUAUUUAGGUAGCGCCUCGUGAAUUCAUCUCCGGGGGUAGAGCACUGUUUCGGCAAGGGGGUCAUCCCGACUUACCAACCCGAUGCAAACUGCGAAUACCGGAGAAUGUUAUCACGGGAGACACACGGCGGGUGCUAACGUCCGUCGUGAAGAGGGAAACAACCCAGACCGCCAGCUAAGGUCCCAAAGUCAUGGUUAAGUGGGAAACGAUGUGGGAAGGCCCAGACAGCCAGGAUGUUGGCUUAGAAGCAGCCAUCAUUUAAAGAAAGCGUAAUAGCUCACUGGUCGAGUCGGCCUGCGCGGAAGAUGUAACGGGGCUAAACCAUG
rnacentral:rRNA from 2 species